GAUGAAGAACGCAGCGAAAUGCGAUACGUAAUGUGAAUUGCAGAAUUCAGUGAAUCAUCGAGUCUUUGAACGCACAUUGCGCCCCCUGGUAUUCCGGGGGGCAUGCCUGUCCGAGCGUCAUUGCUGCCCUCAAGCACGGCUUGUGUGUUGGGCCCCCGCCCCCCGGCUUCGGGGGGCGGGCCCGAAAGGCAGCGGCGGCACCGCGUCCGGUCCUCGAGCGUAUGGGGCUUCGUCACCCGCUCUGUAGGCCCGGCCGGCGCCCGCCGGCGACCCCAAUCAAUCUUUCCAGGUUGACCUCGGAUCAGGUAGGGAUACCCGCUGAACUUAAGCAUAUCAAUAAGCGGAGGA
rnacentral:misc_RNA from 1 species